ensembl:lincRNA Gm43597 predicted gene 43597
CUUUGACGGAAAGCUGAAGAUAUGGGAAACCUGGGAGCCAGUGCAAUGUGGACUUGCUGAGGACAGCCAAAACAUAAGCAGGAAUGGUCAGUCCUUCGGGCCACUAGCACGAGAAUUUGCCUUUCAGCCAGCCAAACUUUUGGGAUCUCCUGGAGUUGCAAUGGAACCCUUGUUACCAGAUGACCCAACACAGGAUUCCCUUUGAUACGGAAGUCACUCAAGAUAAUGCCUUUGCGAUGGAAGAUGUCAACAAAGAUGAGGUCAUCUAUGUAGCCCUGUGUGACUUCAAAUUCGUGGCCAUAUUCCUGCCUUCAUCUCUCCUGUGCCGGGCUGAUGCUCUUGGACCGCCAUGUCCUGUGGUGUGGCUUACUUCUCCCCCGAGUCCUCGGGGAGUCUAUGCUGUCAUUCGUGCACACAGAGAGCAGUACUUACAGUACUAAGUACUUAGUACAGUACUUACAGUGCUAAGACUGACAUUUGUGGUCGUGAUGUUUCUUUCCAUAUCUGAGGAAUGCCUGCGCAGGAGAAUUAAUCAUUAUUUUGUGUAUCUCAAUUAUUAUUUCUAGAAAAGGCAGAAGAGUCUUGGUUAAAAAUGAAAAAUCCCUUGACCUGUAAGUACCUCUUGCCGCAGAGACCUCGAUAUGGUCAGGAGGAAACGAGUGUUGGCAUUGCCUGGUUGUAAUAGCACAGAUGUAUUGCAGUUGAAGAGUUGUUACUAUAGCAACCCUGUCUGUGCGACUGCAUGUUCAAUUCUUUUCUUCAGUCUCUUUCUGUGACCUACAACAAAGCUUGGAUUGUUGCUCCCAAGAUUUAUUCCCCAUUUCAUU